UACGGAAGGCAGCAGUGGGGAAUAUUGCACAAUGGGCGCAAGCCUGAUGCAGCCAUGCCGCGUGUAUGAAGAAGGCCUUCGGGUUGUAAAGUACUUUCAGUCGUGAGGAAGGUGUUAAGGUUAAUAACCUUAGCAAUUGACGUUAGCGACAGAAGAAGCACCGGCUAACUCCGUGCCAGCAGCCGCGGUAAUACGGAGGGUGCGAGCGUUAAUCGGAAUUACUGGGCGUAAAGGGCACGCAGGCGGUUAAUUAAGUUGGAUGUGAAAUCCCCGGGCUUAACCUGGGAAUGGCAUUCAAGACUGGUUAGCUAGAGUCUUGUAGAGGGGGUAGAAUUCCAUGUGUAGCGGUGAAAUGCGUAGAGAUGUGGAGGAAUACCGGUGGCGAAGGCGGCCCCUGGGACAAAGACUGACGCUCAUGUGCGAAAGCGUGGGGAGCAAACAGGGAUUAGA
rnacentral:rRNA from 1 species